rnacentral:lncRNA from 1 species
UUAUUUGAAUUGUGCGUUUUGAACAGUGCAGUUAUAUCAGUUGCCGACAAUUCAUGUCCAGAUUGUACUAUACUACAAUAAUAUCCGAAAGUUCAGUAACCAGUAAGACCUGCUCUACAAAUUAAUUACAGUGAGCAGAACCGCUUGAUGGAGAAAUGAAUGGCGAAAAAUUUGCUUCUUCGACGAACAGUCUCUGACCGAUGUGACAUUUAAAAUUUCAAGCCCAACGGCUCUUGUACCCGCGCAUCGUUUGAUACUCGCAGCAGCGGGUCCCUACUUCGAGAACCUUUCCAAUGGCGUUCAAGGCAAUAAUCCCGUCAUCGAGAUAAAUGAUAUCGAUAGCGAUAUGUUUUUGCGUCCAAAACCUUUUGUUUCUACGGUCAUGCCUUGAAAAGUUGUAUGGAAGCAUAAUCACCCUGUAAAGUGUAUUCAUCGAUAUGUGCCAUGAGUCAGCCAAAGCGAUGAGUUUCCAAAUUUCGAUGUUGAAAAAAUGCAACGUAUUCUGGAAUCUGAUAAUUUGAAUAUAACUCGUGAGGAAGAUGAUUUCGAUGCCGUUAACCGUUGGUUCGAUUACAAUGUUCUUGAGCGUCAUGGACAACUGCUACUUUUAAUAGCUUGUCGCCAGCUUACCCAAGUCGAAGUGAACUUUCUGUUGACACACAUACAUACACUACCUGGUUGAGAGCUGCUGGCCGUGGAUCAGAAAGCCUGCACCGCGAUCAAAAAUAAAUAUGCGAUUUACAGAACCACGUGGGAUCGGUGCUGCUUAUUC